UUUUGGACAAAAAGUCUUCUC
rnacentral:piRNA from 1 species